rnacentral:sRNA from 1 species
GUGGUAAGAGUAAUAUAUGUAUUUAGCCGUUAUGUAUUUUGGAUUCUAGAUUUUAACUCACGGUACAUAUCUUGGACAAUUUUUUUUUUAAGUUAGUAUAUAUAAAAGUUUGCAAAUUGUAUCUAUCUAUAAAAUAUUUUUAUUUUAUAGUUUACAAUUGUUAUUAAGUAACGUCCUGCUAAACUCGUCCCGUAAAAAAUACCCAUUUAUUUUAUUAAUGUUGAUAUUAUGAUAUGUUUAUAAAUCAUUGCCUAAAUAUUUUAGUCGAUGCGGGACGUUGAACCCACACAUUUUUCGCCAAUUGGUUAAUAUAUGUUCAUUUUUAAAAUUUUGAAUCACAAAAUUUGACGGAAUUUUUUUUGAGAUUUUUUUAAACUCUAU